GAUGAACGCUGGCGGCGUGCUUAACACAUGCAAGUCGAACGGAGAGCCUAUGACGGAGUUUUCGGACAACUGAUUAGGUUUCUUAGUGGCGGACGGGUGAGUAACGCGUGAGGAACCUGCCUUGGAGUGGGGAAUAACACAGAGAAAUUUGUGCUAAUACCGCCAUAAUGCAAUUGAGUCGCAUGGCUCUGAUUGCCAAAGAUUUAUCGCUCUAAGAUGGCCUCGCGUCUGAUUAGCUAGUUGGUGGGGUAACGGCCCACCAAGGCGACGAUCAGUAGCCGGACUGAGAGGUUGACCGGCCACAUUGGGACUGAGACACGGCCCAG
rnacentral:rRNA from 1 species